rnacentral:rRNA from 1 species
CCUACGGGUGGCUGCAGUCGAGAAUUUUUCUCAAUGGGGGAAACCCUGAAGGAGCGACGCCGCGUGUAGGAUGAAGGUCUUCGGAUUGUAAACUCCUGUCAUUUGGGAACUAGUACCAGAAGAGGAAGAGACGGCUAACUCUGUGCCAGCAGCCGCGGUAAUACAGAGGUCUCAAGCGUUGUUCGGAUUCAUUGGGCGUAUAGGGUGCGUAGGUGGCGAGGUUAGUCAGGUGUGAAAUCUCGGGGCUCAACCCCGAAACUGCACUUGAUACUGACUUGCUAGAGUACUGGAGAGGAGAUUGGAAUUUACGGUGUAGCAGUGAAAUGCGUAGAUAUCGUAAGGAAGACCAGUGGCGAAGGCGAAUCUCUGGACAGUACUGACACUGAGGCACGAAGGCCAGGGGAGCAAACGGGAUUAGAUACCCGUGUAGUC